GUUCUUGUAGUUGAAUAACAACGGUGGUUUUUCAAGUCAUUGGUCUUGGUUAGAAUCCAGGCAGGAAUU
rnacentral:tRNA from 2 species